ACCUGGUUGAUCCUGCCAGUAGUCAUAUGCUUGUUUCAAAGAUUAAACCAUGCAUGUCUAAGUACACGCCCUAGCAAGGCGAAACCGCGAAUGGCUCAUUAAAUCAGUUAUGGUUCCUUAGAUCGUACACAUUUACUUGGAUAACUGUGGUAAUUCUAGAGCUUAUACAUGCAAUUGAGCCCUCGUCCCUUUUAGGGUGAGGGUGCUUUUAUUAGACCAAGACCAAACUGGGGCAACUCCGAUAGUCGUGGUGACUCUGAAUAACUAUGGCGGAUCGCACAGUCCUAGCACUGGCGACGCAUCUUUCAAGUGUCUGCCUUAUCAACUUUCGAUGGUAGGUUAUGCGCCUACCAUGGUUGUUACGGGUAACGGGGAAUCAGGAUUCGAUUCCGGAGAGGGAGCCUGAGAAACGGCUACCACAUCCAAGGAAGGCAGCAGGCGCGCAAAUUACCCACUCACGGCACGGGGAGGUAGUGACGAAAAAUAACAAUACGGGACUCUAACGAGGCUCCGUAAUUGGAAUGAGUACACUCUAAACCUUUUAACGAGGAUCUAUUGGAGGGCAAGUCUAGUGCCAGCAGCCGCGGUAACUCUAGCUCCAAUAGCGUAUAUUAAAGUUGUCGCGGUUAAAAAUCUCGUAGUUGGAUCUCAGUCGCGCUCCCUUCGAUGCGUUGCAAAGCGUCUAUCGUUGGGGCCGACAGCACGUUGGUGGGCCCGGUUGGCUUUUACCGGUUGAUCUGGUUCUCCGGCAAUUUUACUUUGAAAAAAUUAGGGUGCUCAAAGCAGGCUGGUGCCAACAACGCGCCAUCUAUAUAUAGCAAAUGAAAACAUUAAAAAAACGAAUGUUUUUUUCACACAUAAAUCAACGCAUUUUCAUCAAGUUCUGUGUGAAAAACGGAUUCAAAGGUGCCCAACAUUUUUUGGAUGUUGCAAACAGCCUAUGGGGAUGCUGUCAUGAGCCGAAGACGAAUUUUCGAGUGGUACAAGCGCUUCAAGGAGGGUCGGGAAGAGACCGCCGACAACGAGCGUUCUGGGAGACCGUCCACAUCAACCACGCCUGAAAAAGUGGACAAGGUGUUGGAACUGGUGCGUGAAGACCGACGAAUAACUGUCAGGAAGGUCGCCGAAAAAGCAGGGAUAUCAUUCGGGUCGACUCAAUCGAUGAUGAAGGACAUUUUGGGAGUGAGAAGACUCAACGCCGUUCUCGUUCCCAAAGAUUUGACUUUUGAUCAAAAGUCUCAAUCUCGAAGCGACAACCGACGACCCCGAAUUGCUGAAGAGGGUCAUUACUGGAGACGAAACAUGGAUUUACGGCUUUGAUUCGGAAACUACCCAACAGGCAUCGGAGUGGCGCUUCAAAAAUGAGCCGAGACCAAAGAAAGCGAGUAAGGCUCCCAGCAAAGUCAAGGUUAUGUUGACGGUGUUCUUCGACUACCAGGGCAUCGUUCAUCAUGAAUUUCAACAACAAAGCUCUACAAUAACUGCUGACUCCUACCUGGGAGUUUUGAGGCGAUUGAGGGAAGCGAUCAGGCAGAAACGGCCGGAGCUGUGGAGGAGCAAGUCGUGGAUCUUCCACCACGAUAACGCGCCGGCGUACACAGCCCUCAAAAUCUCGAAGUUCCUGCAGGACCACUCAACCUCUGUGUUCCCCCAACCCACCUACAGUCCCGAUUUGGCCCCCUGCGACUUCUUCCUUUUUGGAAAGCUCAAAAAAAAAAGUUAAAGGGUCGGAAAUUUCAGAGCAUAGAAGAGAUCAAAGUGGAAUCGAAGAAGGCCAUGAAGGCGAUCCCGAAAACACACUA